GCUACUCCUUCUGUAGCUAUAUGAGGAUAUGGAGUGACCAGGGGUGAUUAGGGACGGAACCAGCUGUGGAAUUUGUGCGAGGCCUUGCCCGUUAGCAUGGAAAGACUGGGUCCCAACUAGUGAAUGAACGUUUGUAUUAUUGGAGAAGGUGUACACAGUAAUGUGCGUUGUGAGGAAGGAUUGAGAAAGGUGUGGCUGAAACCACACACCAUUUUUUUCCGUGAUUCUACAUGAGAAAUUGAAGAUUGCAUCUUGAGUAGAUCUUGGACUACAAUGGACUACUGAGGACUGGGACUUUUGUGAAAAUAUAUAUUUUUGUACACUUUUGUAUUUAGGAAACAAUGAAUAUAGCCAUG